UACGUAGGUGGCAAGCGUUGUCCGGAUUUACUGGGUGUAAAGGGCGUGCAGCCGGGAGUGCAAGUCAGAUGUGAAAUCCCGCGGCUCAACCGCGGAACUGCAUUUGAAACUGUGCUCCUUGAGUGCUGGAGAGGCAGACGGAAUUCCUAGUGUAGCGGUGAAAUGCGUAGAUAUUAGGAGGAACACCAGUGGCGAAGGCGGUCUGCUGGACAGUAACUGACGGUGAGGCGCGAAAGCGUGGGGAGCAAACAGG
rnacentral:rRNA from 1 species